AUUGAACGCUGGCGGCAGGCUUAACACAUGCAAGUCGAGCGGGGGUGAUGGUGCUUGCACUAUCACUUAGCGGCGGACGGGUGAGUAAUGCUUAGGAAUCUGCCUAUUAGUGGGGGACAACAUCUCGAAAGGGAUGCUAAUACCGCAUACGUCCUACGGGAGAAAGCAGGGGAUCACUUGUGACCUCGCGCUAAUAGAUGAGCCUAAGUCGGAUUAGCUAGUUGGUGGGGUAAAGGCCUACCAAGGCGACGAUCUGUAGCGGGUCUGAGAGGAUGAUCCGCCACACUGGGACUGAGACACGGCCCAGACUCCUACGGGAGGCAGCAGUGGGGAAUAUUGGACAAUGGGGGGAACCCUGAUCCAGCCAUGCCGCGUGUGUGAAGAAGGCCUUAUGGUUGUAAAGCACUUUAAGCGAGGAGGAGGCUCUUUUGGUUAAUACCCAAGAUGAGUGGACGUUACUCGCAGAAUAAGCACCGGCUAACUCUGUGCCAGCCGCCGCCGUAA
rnacentral:rRNA from 1 species